AACCCUCAUACUAUAUUUCUCCCCCUAACAACUGGGGCUCGUAUGAACAUGGCGUCGACUUAAUAGACUUUUCAUUUUGUCACAAGUACAUUUUUAUAAUUUCAUGAUAUAAAAACAAUUAUACUUUUAACACAUAAAACAAUAUCAGUUUUAAACACAAGCCAUACUUCAUUUACAAAGAUAAAACAUGUCACUUUAUUUCAAUGUCAAAAUAUAAUAAUAUUCACCUCGUGCUUAACCCCUGCGUUCCACACGCAUUGUUUUCGAUGUAAGGGUUUCCAAAUUUUUUUUUUGAUAUUAUGACGCUGUGUAUGGUCAUCAUUCCACGUGUACAUAUAUAUAUUUAUAUAGAUAGAUAUUUUUUGUCACGGGCUUUAGUAUAUAUAUAUGGACCCCCUUUAAAUUAAAUUGGUCCAUGAUAAUUUAAUUGGAUUUGCAUUGAGUUUGAAAGAGAUGUGUGAGAAAUGGGCCCAAUGGAUUGGACCCAUAUUGUUUGUGGUUUGGAUUUGUUACUGGCCAAACAAAGCCCAAGGGCCUAAUGGAAUGGCAUUUGUGUCAUUUCAUAUUUUGCCUAACACAUCUAAUAUUAGCAUUUAUAUUUAUUUUUUAGUUAGAAGAGUCUUCUUCUUCCUUUCUUCUCUCUCUCUCUAAAGUUGAGCCAAAAGUGGGUUUGGCAUUGAAGCUUAGAUCUAGGUGAGUGAGGUGUGAUUUGAGUAGUGAUUCUUUAGGAGAACAUCAUCUACUCGACGAGGGUUACGCAUGGAGCCAAGAACAUUUAGAAUCGGAGCAAUCAAAAUUUCGAGCCUCACCAUUUUUGGAGCUUGCAUUGCUUGGAUUUGAGAUAAAGGGUGUUAUCUUGUGGAGUUUAGUUUUGGGUUGUUGUUUAAUAGCUUAUAUACAGUCUAUUGAACACAUAUUUUUGAGUAUUGGAACUUAAAUGGAACAUUGAUUCUCAAUGGAAGUUGAAAAGGAGGAUUAUUGUUGAAACUUACUUUGGGGUUUGUUUGUAAAAUGAGUUAUCUUGUGUGGUUUAGUUUUGGUUUUGUUGUUAAUGACUUAUAUAAGUCCAUUGAAAUUAUAUUUUAGUAUAGAAUCCCUAAAGGAUAAAAUUGGGGGGGGUUUGGUUUAAUUGACAUGGCAAGUUUUGAAAUCGACCACUUAAAAAAAAAAUGGUUGGUGGUCUCGACACAUUUGAAAAUCGACCACUGAUGGUUUGUGUCCUACACAUUUGAAAGGAGAAUGGAGAACUUUGGACACUGACAUUGGUGUCGACACCUGAAUUUUGGUGUCAAAACAGCUUGAAAAUAGUGAAAUUUUGGCUAACUAACUGACAUUUGGUGUCGACAACAAGAUUUUCAGGUGUCGACAACCUUGAACAGUAAAAAAAAAUUAAUUUUUUUUAAAACUAGUUUUUUACUUUGAGCAUUACUAAAUAUUUUGUAUAUAUUAUUGUUGCAUUAAAUUUUGAUAAUUAACAUUUUGUGUAUUGAAAUUUUAAAAUUUAUUUUUGGAGAAUGAGUUGGAUAAAGUUUUUACAUUAAAUAUUACAUUUAAAUGUUUUAAUGAUAGUUUUAUAAAUUGAUAGAAUUGUAAUUGCAUAUUAUGUUUGACACGCAUUGUGGACCUUGGGUAAAUGCAAUCUUUUGUGAGAAAACGGUUUAGAAAAUGGGUUUACUGAACUGCUUUAAGGAAAUAAUUUUUGAGAAUGAUUAAUGUGGAAAAUAGUUUUGAGAAUUGAUUUGCUGGAAAUGGUUUUGAGAAAGGUUAAGUGUGGGCAAUUGUUUGAGAAAUGAACACUGCUAGAUAUACCGGUAAAACCCACAUCGGGAGGCAGAUAAAGCGAUCGUGUUGUAAACAUUGGGGGUUUAUGUCCAAUCUUCGGUGAAAGUCCGAUAAGUAGGCCCGGAUUUGGUUAAGUAAUACUUUCGUUGAAAGUUCGAGAAGAAAUUCCUAGAUGGCUAUAGUGGGUAUGUAAAAAAAACCUUCGUUGAAAGUCCGAGAAGAAAUUCCUAGAUGGCAAAUGCGCACCUAUAGGGAUGGGUCCGAAACCCCUUUGGUGAAGUCCGAGGAAUCGAUUGUGUUAUAGUAUGUCGACCCUUUCGGUGAAAAGUCCAAGGAAUGCGGAUUGUGUAUAGGGAUGUUCGACCUUUCGGUGAAAGGUCGAGGAAGCGAUUGUGAUAGGGAUUGUCGACCUUUCGGUGGAAAAGUCCGAGGAAUGCGGCUGUAUAGAGGGAAUGUCAUAACCCACGGUGAAAGCCCCGGGAGUUGACUCGAACGUUAUUCUAAUGCCUUAACGGCAUGACUGAGGGUUGGAUAGGUGUUAGCCUAGUGUGUCAUUCCAAGUAUUGAAUAUUUACCUUUGUGGGAAAAAUACAUGAAUGUUAGAAUUUGAUAAAAUCUAAGAAUGAGAUUAUUGCUUUCUUUUUGCUUUUCGAGAAAGCCCGAUGGUUGGUGAAAUCAGUGAUUUGAUAAUCUGACUUUGAAUGGUGUAUUGUUUAGU
rnacentral:lncRNA from 1 species